GCAAGUCGAACGAUAAGCUACCUUCGGGUAGUGGACAGUGGCGGACGGGUGAGUAACACGUGGGAACCUGCCUUUUGGUACGGAAUAACUUUCGGAAACGAACGCUAAUACCGUAUAAGCCCUUCGGGGGAAAGAUUUAUCGCCAAUAGAUGGGCCCGCGCUAGAUUAGAUAGUUGGUGGGGUAAUGGCCUACCAAGUCUACGAUCUAUAGCUGGUUUGAGAGGAUGAUC
rnacentral:rRNA from 1 species